GGCAAGCAGGGAAGCCGAGAAGACGCGGAUCUGUUCUUUUCAGAGGCCCAGGGGUGGAGGGAGGAGGUGAGAAUUAAGCCGAAGAUACCGUCACACACACACACACACACACACACACACACACACACACACGAGGGAAGGGUCCCCCACCAACCACCGCGCCACGCCGACCGAGCGGCAACAGCAGAGCGCUUCCUUACCUGGAGCAGAGAGACAGCGAACCCAAUCAUCAAAUCCAUGGGGAAACGAACUGCUAGGAAGCUCCCCCUCCUCCAAAAAAAAAAAAAAAAGCCCAAUGGCUUCCCUCUCCCAGUGCCGGAGCCUGGGGAGGGAGAAUCUCGGGCUCCCUUGUCGAUCCGGCUUUCUACAAGGCUGCCUAAAUGAGAGGACCAGGGCACCAGACCUGUGCACACGCUGCUAGACGCUGCAUAGGCUGCUAAAUGGCUUGUCUUUUCUUCAAAUGACAAUUUCAUCCUUUGAAAACCAUAGCUACCAUUCGGUGACAACCAAGUCACCUACUGACCCCAAGAUACAAUCACCUCACUUUAAGGAAAGACCUGUAUACACACCUAACAUGCCUUUGCUUAAUCUCUUCUGUAAAAUGAGCUGAAAAAUCCAAAGAUCUUAUGAAUGUAUAAUGAGCCAACACUAGUCUCACGCCUCAACCAGGACUUCCUGAAAGUCGACGGAUGAAUGACAGGCCCUGCGGGGGCAUUGAGUCAAGUAACCGGCACGUAGGUUCUUCCCGCCCUAGGAAGGGGGUGUUUGGGUUGGAGAUGUGCAUGAGUAAGGGUGUGUGUUUAACAAUAAAUUGCACUAGGAGGUAUCGGUUACGCAGGUGUCCUGGAAAUCCCGGCUUCCACGACAUCCUCAUAUAUGGAGGGGUCCUCGGAGAAGCCACCCCCUACACACAU